rnacentral:misc_RNA from 1 species
UUUUUUUUUUUCUUUUUUUUCAUUAUUAUGCCGCUAAAAUAUAAUUAUCAAUAUCAAUGUUGCGCUUGUGGUAAACUUGGCAACUCAAUUAGCUACAAAUGCUAUGAGUGCAACUUUGAUGUUCAUCUGAGAUGCAUUUUACCUGGCACCAUGCCAAAAUAUAGCCAACUUGUUUGAUCCCUACAUAUGCUUGUUCUCAAGAUGAGUCCAUUUAGUAUUCUUGUGAUAUUUGAAAUCAGAAAAGAGAGUUGGGUCAAUUGUUUUAUCGGUGUGAAGAUUGUAAUUUAGCCAUUCAGUGAGAUGCUUGCCAGAUCAAAGCCAAAAGCUCAACAACGUAUUAGUCUGCCUUUCCUGGUUCUUCUUAUAUAAUUUGGCUGUUUUGG